rnacentral:rRNA from 1 species
UGGGGAAUAUUGGACAAUGGGCGAAAGCCUGAUCCAGCAAUGCCGCGUGUGUGAAGAAGGCCUGAGGGUUGUAAAGCACUUUCAAUAGAGACGAAAAGCUUAGGGUUAAUACCCUUGAGUCUUGACUUAACCUAUAGAAGAAGCACCGGCUAACUCCGUGCCAGCAGCCGCGGUAAUACGGAGGGUGCAAGCGUUAAUCGGAAUUACUGGGCGUAAAGCGCUCGUAGGCGGUUUGUUAAGUCGGAUGUGAAAGCCCCGGGCUCAACCUGGGAACUGCAUUCGAUACUGGCAGACUAGAGUAUAGUAGAGGCAAGUGGAAUUCCGGGUGUAGCGGUGAAAUGCGUAGAUAUCCGGAGGAACAUCAGUGGCGAAGGCGACUUGCUGGACUAAUACUGACGCUGAGGAGCGAAAGCGUGGGGAGCAAACGGGAUUAGAUACCCCCGUAGUCC